GGGCUCGUAGCUCAGCUUGGCUGGAGCGUUCGACUGAUAAUCGAAAGGUCAUGAGUUCGAAUCUCAUCGGGCCCA
rfam:Cenarchaeum symbiosum A, complete genome.